UUAAGUUCUUCAAACAUUACGAACAUUUUUAAGUAUUUUUUAUAGAAAAUAACGAUUCUCCUUCUUUAUGAGUGGUCAUUUUCCAAUAGAAUAAACAGGUCCAGGAAGAUAUUUAAACAGUUCACCGAUGUAUACAAUAUUGUAGUGAAAAAGCUAUGGAGAUGAUCCAUUUCACAUGAAUGAAAAACUAUUUAUCUUACAGCAAUAUAAGAAGCUUAAAUGCAUAUACAAUAUAAACUACCAACUUAGUUAAGGCUAUACAACUCCAUUUCGAGCAUUUUACUAAAAUUACUACUGGAAAAUUAGAUACAUCGAAAGUGGCAAAAGGAGAGCAGCGGACACUUAAAAUUACAGAGGGGUAAACAAAACUCAUCCGUUGUCGAUCAAUCAGCCAAAGGGAAAACAAGUCGAUGUAAAUUCCUCUGCUACCUAAACUAGAGAAUCGAUUUGACAUACCUUACGGAUUUCAGAGUAAUUUUAAAAAUGUUGCAAUAUUAAAUAAAUACUAAAUAGCAUAUAGAGAGAAUACAUAACUACAUGUCACCCUCUCAAAGUAGUUUUAAAGAUUUUAUACCAUAAUUGAGAUACGUCAAUAAAAUUGUUGUAGGUGAUGAAGCUUGUUUCUACAACUACGACCCAGAAACAAAGCACCAGUCAAUGUUGGACUCACAGUCCACAAGUUGCUGAUGCAUUUCUUAAAGUCACCAACAGCCGGUGACAACAAAUGUAAAGAUAUCAAUUUACUUCAUCGUAAGAAAAGAUAUAGCUGAUUAUUCUUUCAAAACUGGAGAGACGAGAUUGCUUUAUAGUAUAUUGAAACUGAAACUGAUACUGUUUGCCAAAAGUUUUGAAAAUUUACUAGAAAACAAGAAAACAAAAUUUGGUCCAUAAUUUGUGCUUUACGAUAACACGCCAGCACACUCUACUGAAAUAAACAACUUCAUUGCGUCUUCAGGGAUUAUUCCCCAAAUGUUUAAGUUCCAUUUUUUGUACAAUAAAGUCCCGAUGUAUCUUGCACUUCCAUAAAAAACUUCGGUUUCUUUCAUACCUAUCACCGUAUUUAACAUAAUUAUGUUCCAGUGUGAACAGUGAAAGCUCUCUGAAGUCAUUACCUUCGCGAAGAGAUCAGAAGUUUUUACUGUUUAAGAAAAUGUAAUUUAUUUGAAAAAUGAAAAAUGGGGACUUGCAACAUUGCACGAUUAGAAGAGAUGUCCGCCUAUAAGAAUGCCUUAAAAGCGUAAAGGACUUACUGGUAACUGUCAAUAUAUAUACAAAUGUUUAUGCAUAUACUAAUGAAAAAUCGUUUCUUGAUUUUCUGAAAAUUGUGCACUGAACCGAUAUUUUAGCUUAGUUUCACUUUAGUAUUUAAAAUUGAGUAACAAUUUCAGUAGAGUUGAUUUAAUAUACUUUGUUACUUUUUGGAUAUGUUAAUUGUAAUUGGUUUCAUGUAGAAUUACAAAUGAUAUAUGUAGCAAAUA